CAUGUUCGGCGUGUCCUUCAGAUCUGCUUCUCUAUCUCCCACGUGUGCGCGCUGCAUCUCUUCAUGACCUCCACGUGUCCCGCCCCCAGGGGGGCCUUUCCGUCAUUGACUUGCUUCCUCCUCUAUUUUUCCAUAGUCUCAAUUUUCAUUCUCCUUCCUUCCCCCCCCCCGGUUUUCUGAACGUCAUUACUCUCGUCGGUUCGUUCAUGUGUUCGUCGAAUUCCUUCUCAUUCUGCUUCAUGCGUCUCGUGGGUAUCUGCAACUGAAGAUAGAGACGAUGAUGAUGACGGUGAUGACGUACUCCUCUCCUCUGUCGAAGCUAGGAAAUAUAGGGAUUCUGGUGUACGAUAACUAUGUUAUACUUCCGUGACAACAAUCACAGUAGAUAAGCUAAAUUGAUUGAAUUUAGUUCGACUUUGUGUUCGGGAAUUGAUAUUAUAAGAUUUUCAUUCGUGGAGGUUUUUGAUUUUGUUUCAAUGCCGCAAACGGAGGAAGGUUGCAACAGAGCAACCCGGCCGCUUUUCACGAUUCCGGCGAGUAACUUACAGGGAGAUCUGUUUAGGAGAGUUGUUUCCGGCAAUGAUAUAUCACAAGAAGUCGUCGUUGACGAGCCGGUGGAAGAUUCCGACGAUGUUGAGCUGAGCCUGGGGCUGUCGUUGAACGGCAGGUUCGGGGUGGACCCGAGAGCUAAAGCGGGGUUGCAUCUCAAACGGUCGUCUUCAAUCUCGGACUUCUCGCCUGCGGCGGCGGCUUCGAUGACUGCGGCCAUGAGAGAGGAGGAAGCAACUACGUCUCGUGUACCGAGGCCGUUCGUGGUGCCGCUGAUGAGGACGUGUUCGCUUCCGACGGAAACAGAGGAUGAGUGGAGGAAGAGGAAGGAGCUGCAGAGCUUGAGGAGAAUGGAGGCGAAGAGGAAGAGGUCGGAGAAGCAGCAGAGGAGUUAUUCGAAGCUGCAUAGGGUUCGGAGCCGUGAGAAUUUUGAGGUGGAUAGCAGACUAGCUGAGGCCUUUAAUGUCGGCGGUUGUCCUCGGCUCCCGCCGGCACCGCCGCCGGAAUCUCAGGGGACUAUGGGGUCUCAGGGGAGUGGUUCUUCGGUCGUUACGGAGUCUGAUAGCCAAGCAGCUGCUCAAGUAGUGCAGAACAUCACUGAAGCAAGAAGCGACUCUAAUAUUGAGCCAUUGCCAAAGAGUGGAAAGGAACAGCUUGUCGCCCCACGGGUGACUGGGAAUGCUGAAAACUUAGGGCAGUUGAAUGGAGUUGUCCAAAUGCAAAAUCACUGCAACAAGUCUGCAAGUCCUCCAAAGGGACCUAAGGAGAUUGUGAGGAAUGUGUUGGAGAAUAUGCCUUCAGUUUUUACCAAGGGAGAUGGUCCGGACGGGAGAAGAGUAGAAGGCUUUCUUUACAGGUAUAAGAAGGGUGAGGAAGUGAGGAUCGUAUGCGUUUGUCAUGGCAGCUUUCUAACUCCUGCCGAGUUUGUCAAGCAUGCCGGUGGGGGAGAGGUGCCACAUCCUCUUAAGCAUAUAGUAGUUAAUCCUUCUCCCAUUUUGUAGUUCUGUGCCUGACAGCCAUUCAAAACGAAUGCAAGAUCAAGUGGUAACCAUGAUCAUGCAAACACGAAGCUUUGAUUUGCCAGUCCUUAAAUCCGAAAUCAAACUUGUUUGGCAAAUGAGUAAGCUAAGGUCUGCUAACUGCAGUGAUAUGGAAACUCAUCAAGGACGUUGAACACAGAAGGGAAUUGGCGAGGAAUUAGAUUUCGGCGCUUGGCACUUUGGCAGCACCUCCUAUCUGGCAAUAAAUAUCUUUCAUCUUUGUUAAAAUGCAGUGAUACCUUCAGCACUUAUAGUACAAGUGUGCAACUAUAAAGGUAAAAGAAUAGUAUAUGUCCUGCUAAAAUGAAAAAAAAAACUGAGGCUCUAACUUCUUAAGCAGCCGAGGAUCAUAGUUUACUUCGUUGUUGUAUCUUGAACCGAGGGUCACGACCUACAACCCUGGAAAAGGAAA